UCCAAAUGACCCUUCAAUUCCCACUAUUUCAGCAGGAACAUAGAAUUCCCCAUUCUGCCAUAGGAAAUGUAACUUGAUCAGCAACUGGAGUUACAGUCAAAGCACCACUGGUGAAGUCAUCAAUUCCUUGGGAUUGAGAAAGCACAGUUGCAGUGCUGAUACUGCGUAAAGGGUUGUGUGAUGCACUUAACCUACAGGUGAUACGAACUGAAUAUAUUCUGAAGUUUGGAGGGAAAUUCUCCAUCGACACA